ensembl:lncRNA
GAUCAACAAAGUGAGGAAAACACGAAACUAGACACAUACUUAGAAACAAUACAUAAUAAAAAAAAAAUAAGUAAAAAGGAAGAGAAAAAAAAAAAGAGGGAAAUAAAAAAAAGUAGUACUAAUAGUAGUAAUAAACAUAAUGAAAUAGCUGAUACAACUGUUAUUAAUUCUUUUAAAAAAAAUAUUGUAACCGAAAUGAGGGACAUACAUAAUAUGCGCAAUCAUGAUAGUAUUAAUGGUGAUAACAUAAUAAACGAUAAAAAAAAUGAAAAAGAUAAUAAACAAUAUUUUUUUAACACUGGAAAUAAUGAAAGUAUUAACAAUAUACAUACAUUACAAAAUAAUAUAAAUAUGACUAACAUGAAUACUAAUUUAAUUGAUGAAACCGAACCAAAUGAACCCGAACCAAGUGAACAUAAUGAGGAAGAAGGAUAUGACCAUUCAAAUAUUAACAAUGAUAUAGAUAAUUAUCCACAAAAUGCUUUAAGUAGAUUUAUGAAUGGAAUAAAAAAAGUUAUUUUAAACAUAAAAGGACAACCAAUAACAAAUGAAGCUGUUAUUACUGAUGAUAUUGUAAAUGAUUUGUCACAUAUAUAUAAUGAUUUAGAAGCAAAUGCAAACAGUGUUAGUCUUAAUAACAAUACAAAUGAUCCUAUAAAUAAUAAUUAUACUAACAAUAUAAACACUUUUAAUAAUAUCAAUAACGAUUCAUUUAUUGAAUUACAAACUAUACAAAGACAUAGUAAUAAUAAUGACAAUAACACAAGACUAAGAGGAGAAUCUAUAAACACACAAAAUGAACAAGCAAAUGAAAUUAUGUGCUUAUAUGGUCUAAACCCUAAUGAUAUAAUAGAUAAUACAUUAUUAGUCUGUCAAAAUGAAAUAUUAAAUAAUAACAACGAAAAUGUUACUACUCCUACUACAUCUACUGCUUUUGCGUAUAUUUCUGCUUCUGCUGUUGCUGCAGCUACUCCUAACAAUAACAACAACAAUAACAAUAACACUAAUAAUAACAAUAGUGAUAACAAUAACAAUAAUGACAAUGGAAACAAUGAAAACUUCUUUAUUGAUACAAACAUACUCAAUCGUGUGCGCAACUCUUGCACAAAUUAUAUUGAUUCAGUAAAAGAAAAAAUCAAAAAAUAUUGGCUAGCUAGGGUUCAAGAAGCAAAUACGCAACUAGCAACUCCUCAUCAUCCAACAAGUACGAUUACAAAUGUAAGUGCAAGUGCAAAUACAAGUACAAAUGCAAGUACAAAUGCAAGUGCAAAUACAAGUACAAAUGCAAGUACAACACAGGAAGAUGAAACUGACGACCCUUGUUGUUUACAAAUAUUAUUUUUGUUAGGGUUAAUUUGUAAGUUCCCUAUAUUGUGGAUUAUAGGCUCGAUGAUUUUUUGUAUUACUCCAAAUAAUCAUAAAAAAACAAAAAAAUGGUGUUUAAUUAAUUUUAGUUUUGCACUUAUUAGUUUAGUUUAUUUUAUUAGUACAACUAAAUUUAGAAAUGUUAAACCAGCUUUCUAUGUACGUCUAAAUCCAAGUAUAGAGCAAACAAAUAUGUAUUAUAAAGGAAUAAUCAAGAAUAAUAAUAAAAUUAUUCAUCCUAUUUUACAUAUUGACAAUACUACACCAUCUUACUGGGUUACCAAUAAUAAUACUAAACACAUUCUAAUGACAACUGAUCAAGAGUUCAUG